AUUAGCCAGUUGGUGAGGUAACGGCUCACCAAGGCGAUGAUGUAUAGCGGUCUUGAGAGGACGACCGCCCACAUUGGGACUGAGACACGGCCCAGACUCCUACGGGAGGCAGCAGUAAGGAAUAUUGGUCAAUGGAUGGAAAUCUGAUCCAGCCAUGCCGCGUGCAGGAAGACGGCCUUAUGGGUUGUAAACUGCUUUUAUACGGGAGCAAUAAGGGUUACGAGUAAUCCGAUGAGAGUACUGUAUGAAUAAGGAUCGGCUAACUCCGUGCCAGCAGCCGCGGUAAUACGGAGGAUCCGAGCGUUAUCCGGAAUUAUUGGGUUUAAAGGGUGCGUAGGCGGCCAUUUAAGUCAGCGGUGAAAUUUUGCAGCUUAACUGUAACAGUGCCGUUGAUACUGUUUGGCUAGGAUUUGGUUGUAGUGUGCGGAAUGUGUGGUGUAGCGGUGAAAUGCUUAGAUAUCACACAGAACACCGAUUGCGAAGGCAGCACACUAAGUCAUUAUUGACGCUGAGGCACGAAAGUGUGGGGAUCAAACAGGAUUAGAUACCCUGGUAGUCCACACUGUAAACGAUAAAGGUCGCUGUCGGCGAUACACAGUCGGGGGCCAAGCGAAAGCAUUAAGUUAUCCCCCCUGGGGGAGUACGACCGCAAGGUUGAAACUCAAAGGAAUUGACGGGGGCCCGCACAAGCGGAGGAACAUGUGGUUUAAUUCGAUGAUACGCGAGGAACCUUACCCGGGCUCGAACGGUGCAUGAAUAUACGAGAGAUUGUAUAGUCCUUCGGGACAUGUAUCGAGGUGCUGCAUGGUUGUCGUCAGCUCGUGCCGUGAGGUGUCGGCUUAAGUGCCAUAACGAGCGCAACCCUUGUCAUUAGUUGCCAUCAGGUCAAGCUGGGGACUUUAAUGAGACUGCCACCGUAAGGUGUGAGGAAGGGGGGGAUGACGUCAAAUCAGCACGGCCCUUAUGUCCGGGGCGACACACGUGUUACAAUGGGAGGUACAGAGGGCAGCUAUCCGGUGACGGAAUGCUAAUCUCCAAAACCUUUCUCAGUUCGGAUUGGAGUCUGCAACUCGACUCCAUGAAGGUGGACUCGCUAGUAAUCGCGCAUCAGCCAUGGCGCGGUGAAUACGUUCCCGGGC
rnacentral:rRNA from 1 species